rnacentral:rRNA from 1 species
AAAACAAAGGGGCGAUACAAUAGAAUAGGCAAACACCCGAUCCCAUACCGAACUCGAAUUGUGAAACGAUUCUAUGCCUUAUGUACUGAUUUUUAUCUUUCGGGAGACGAGGUCCCCCUUUGUUUU